GUGGGGAAUAUUGGGCAAUGGGCGCAAGCCUGACCCAGCAACGCCGCGUGAGGGAAGAAGGUCUUCGGAUUGUAAACCUCUGUCCUUGGGGACGAAAACAAUGACGGUACCCAAGGAGGAAGCUCCGGCUAACUACGUGCCAGCAGCCGCGGUAAUACGUAGGGAGCGAGCGUUGUCCGGAAUUACUGGGCGUAAAGGGUGCGUAGGCGGCAUGGCAAGUCAGAUGUGAAAUCCCCGGGCUUAACUCGGGGGGUGCAUUUGAAACUGCUGUGCUUGAGUGCAGGAGAGGAAAGCGGAAUUCCUAGUGUAGCGGUGAAAUGCGUAGAUAUUAGGAGGAACACCAGUGGCGAAGGCGGCUUUCUGGACUGUAACUGACGCUGAGGCGCGAAAGUGUGGGGAGCAAACAGGAUUAGAUACCCUUGUAGUCC
rnacentral:rRNA from 1 species